GGGCGGUUAGCUCAGCCGGCUAGAGCGCCUGCUUUACACGCAGGAGGUCGUGGGUUCGAGCCCCACACUGCCCA
rnacentral:tRNA from 1 species